rnacentral:tRNA from 1 species
CAAAAAGUAGUUAAAAUUAGAAUCCUAGCUUUGGGAGUUAGGGGUGGGGGUUAAAAUCCCCCCUUUUUGA